rnacentral:snRNA from 13 species
GGUUCAAUUACCCAAGUUUGAGGUACAACUCGGGAUUGGGUUGGAAUAAAUGGGAUGAAAACCCCAUCUUCGGAAUCCUCUCAUUGAGAGGAGA